GAUGAACGCUGGCGGCGUGCCUAAUACAUGCAAGUCGAGCGAACAGACGAGGAGCUUGCUCCUCUGACGUUAGCGGCGGACGGGUGAGUAACACGUGGAUAACCUACCUAUAAGACUGGGAUAACUUCGGGAAACCGGAGCUAAUACCGGAUAAUAUAUUGAACCGCAUGGUUCAAUAGUGAAAGACGGUUUUGCUGUCACUUAUAGGUGGAUCCGCGCCGCAUUAGCUAGUUGGUAAGGUAACGGCUUACCAAGGCAACGAUGCGUAGCCGACCUGAGAGGGUGAUCGGCCACACUGGAACUGAGACACGGUCCAGACUCCUACGGGAGGCAGCAGUAGGGAAUCUUCCGCAAUGGGCGAAAGCCUGACGGAGCAACGCCGCGUGAGUGAUGAAGGUCUUCGGAUCGUAAAGCUCUGUUAUUAGGGAAGAACAAAUGUGUAAGUAACUAUGCACGUCUUGACGGUACCUAAUCAGAAAGCCACGGCUAACUACGUG
rnacentral:rRNA from 1 species